GAAAUGCGAUAAGUAAUGUGAAUUGCAGAAUUCCGUGAAUCAUCGAAUCUUUGAACGCACAUUGCGCCCCCUGGCAUUCCGGGGGGCAUGCCUGUCCGAGCGUCAUUUCUGCCCUCAAGCGCGGCUUGUGUGUUGGGCGUGGUCCCCCUGGCUUUGGCGGGGACUUGCCCGAAAGGCAGCGGCGACGUCCCGCCUAGUCCUCGAGCGUAUGGGGCUCUGUCACGCGCUCGGGAGGGACUGGUGGGCGUUGGUCACCCCUUAUUCUUUCUACGGUUGACCUCGGAUCAGGUAGGAGUUACCCGCUGAACUUAA
rnacentral:misc_RNA from 1 species